rnacentral:lncRNA from 1 species
CUGGAGGGGAGGUAUUGAAAAGGAGAGGGCUCUCCAGGAGGGAAGCCCUGUAACAGGCUUUCUCUCCCAGGGCAGAAAAUUAUUGACUGUACAGAGAAAAACAAAGUUUCUCCAUCUUUGGGCAGUGUGGAAGAGAAUAAAACAAUGCAGGGCAUUAUGCUACAUUUAACUAUGAUGCAACCAGUGCCAACACCUUGGUUUGAAUCUUACUGAGUGAUGGUUAACUCUCCUCUCGUGGAGGACCAGGGCAUCAUCACUAGUCUCAUCACCCAAGUGCCCUAUUCUACUUUCUGUUUCCCACAUUUUGCUCAGCAAUGGAUCAUCAAAUCAACAUUGUCAUCACUACUCUGCUGUGAAAGGAAAUAGAGUAUGGAUAUUAAAAAUAAUAACUGUACACUGGGAUUGGUCAUGGAAGAUUUCAUGAAGGAGGUGGAACUGUUAGUCACUGAAGGCUGAGAAGGAUUCAAGUAUAAGAGAAAGAAGGAAAGAUAUUCAAGGUAGGAAAAAUGGAGUGAGCAGAUUUGUAAAGAUGGGAAUGUCAUGGGUGCUCCUAAUG